rnacentral:rRNA from 1 species
AGUGAACGCUGGCGGUAGGCCUAACACAUGCAAGUCGAACGGCAGCACAGUAAGAGCUUGCUCUUACGGGUGGCGAGUGGCGGACGGGUGAGGAAUACAUCGGAAUCUACUUUUUCGUGGGGGAUAACGUAGGGAAACUUACGCUAAUACCGCAUACGACCUACGGGUGAAAGCAGGGGAUCUUCGGACCUUGCGCGAUUGAAUGAGCCGAUGUCGGAUUAGCUAGUUGGCGGGGUAAAGGCCCACCAAGGCGACGAUCCGUAGCUGGUCUGAGAGGAUGAUCAGCCACACUGGAACUGAGACACGGUCCAGACUCCUACGGGAGGCAGCAGUGGGGAAUAUUGGACAAUGGGCGCAAGCCUGAUCCAGGCAUACCGCGUGGGUGAAGAAGGCCUUCGGGUUGUAAAGCCCUUUUGUUGGGAAAGAAAAGCAGCAGGUUAAUACCCCGCUGUUCUGACGUUACCCAAAGAAUAAGCACCGGCUAACUUCGUG